UGGCGCGAUUGGAUGAGCCCACGUCGGAUUAACUAGUUGGCGGGUAAAGCCCACCAAGGCGACGAUCCGUAGCUGGUCUGAGAGGAUGAUCAGCCACACUGGAACUGAGACACGGUCCAGACUCCUACGGGAGGCAGCAGUAGGGAAUAUUGGACAAUGGGCGCAAGCCUGAUCCAGCCAUGCCGCGUGAGUGAAGAAGGCCCUCGGGUUGUAAAGCUCUUUUGUCCGGAAAGAAAAGCGCCGGGUUAAUACCCUGGUGUCCUGACGGUACCGGAAGAAUAAGCACCGGCUAACUUCGUG
rnacentral:rRNA from 1 species